GGCCCUUUGGCGGAACUGGUAGACGUGCCGGACUCAAAAUCCGGUGCUCGCAAGAGCGUCCGAGUUCGAUUCUCGGAGGGGCCACCA
rnacentral:tRNA from 1 species